rnacentral:lncRNA from 1 species
GGGGUCGACUCAUGAGUCGACUCAUGCUUCAGGGGUCGACUCAUGAGUCGACCUCUGUUGCAAAAACCAGAGAAUGCGUUUCUGGAAAUUUUUGGCUCAAAUUAGCAGGGGUCGACUCAUGAGUCGACUCAUGCCUUGUGGGUCGACUCAUGGGUCGACUCACAGGUCGUGCCAAGCCAGAAAACUAGCGUGCCAAGGAGAAUUUUUGCGUGCCAAUCAGCUCACAGUGCCAUGAGUUGACUCAUGAGUCGACUCAUGCACUUCAAACCUUCAUAAC